AUGAAAAUAAUCAUGGAGUUACUAAUAGUGACAGCAAAAUAACAGAUGAGGAGUUUAACGAGAGCUUUGCUGAUAAACAUUGAAUUAUGAAAUGAACAUCAAAAAGUGUUGAUAGAAAAUAUGUGUUUCAUUUACCCGACACAUUCCCAGAGACUCAAAGUAUCUUGAGGUACGUUAUUCGUCUCGUCAUCCUGCCCCUCCCCCACCUCCUCUGGUCUCUCGUACAGCUGUGUGUUUGGUACCAAUACAACAAGGUUAGGACACACAGUCAGUGUAUGUACAUGUACAUGUUUGUCCUUUUAUGUUUUGACAAAUUUUAGUAACUUUA
rnacentral:lncRNA from 1 species